AUUUCCUUUGUGGGAAACAAUACAUAAAUGAAAAUUUGGCAUCAGACUCUUGGAACCAGAAGCAUCAGAGCCACUUGGGAACUGGUGUGAAAUGCAGAAUUCUAGAAUGUAUUUGGUGAGGAAUGUGCAUUUCAGGAAGAGCCUUAGAAGAUUCAAGUGUCUGUUCAAUUGUGAGGAGAACUGAACCAGAGUGGAUGCUGACCCCUGAUUUGAGGAGUAGUGGGAAGUUAAUAUUAGCUUUCGUGCUAUUGGUACGGGGAUUUCUAAGAGGUUCUGGUUUGUUAGAAUCUUCCAUGGUACCUGGAGGCUAAGAGAAGCUGGUUGCUUUCAAGCCCCAACAGUUGCUGAAGGAAGUGAGAUUGCGUGCAGGGUCUCAUCCAUCCAGCCAUCAGCAGCCACAGAAAAUACAUGUUCGGCUGUAUAUUGUUUUAUCCAAUUUAAAGAGUUAAGUAAAAAAUGUUUUUCUGAUUGGAAGUCAUUUCUGCUCUUCCCGGGUUGUUAGGUACUUCAUCACAAGGGUAGAUUUUCGUCUCCUCUUUCUCUAUAUAUUCUAG
rnacentral:lncRNA from 1 species